rnacentral:tRNA from 1 species
GGUCCCUUAGAUCAGUUGGUUAGAUCGUGGUGCUAAUAAUCAAGGUCGCGAGUUCGAACCUCGUAGGGACCA